rnacentral:tRNA from 1 species
GGAGAGUUAUCGAAGUGGUUAUAACGGCCCGCACUCGAAAUGCGGUGUUCCGAUAAUUCGGGACCGAGGGUUCGAAUCCCUCACUCUCCGCCA